CCCGCGCCCCGGCGCUGCCCCGGCACCGACACCGCCGCCGGGACGGCGACCGAGACCGCGACUGGUUCUGGGAUUGGCACCGGGCCCGGCGGCUGGACUGGGAACGGGACUGGCACUGACACCGAGACAGGCACCGCCACGGGGAUGGGAACCGGGACUGGGACUGAUUCCGGGACUGGCACUGACACCGAGACAGGCACCGCCACGGGGAUGGGAACCGGGACUGGGACUGAUUCCGGGACUGACACCGGCAGCGGAACUGGGAACGGGACCGGCACGGAGACCGGCACUGGAACCGAAGCCGGAAGCGGCACCAGGACACAGACCUGGACAGGGACUGGGACCAGCACCGAGACCAGUGCUGGGAUAGGUACCGGGACGGGGAUAGGAAGCAGGAGUGGCAAGCUCACCGGGGCCAGCACCGGGACUGGAGCCACCCUGCCCAGCGCAGCCCACUGCCCGCUGCCUUCCCCGUUCCCAUCCUCUUGAAGCAGCCAGUCCCAGGGGCGCCUCCCUCCCUGGAAGCCCCAGAAAGGGGCAGGCGCGGCUCGAGGGGAGCCUUGGGUGGGGCCUGAGGGAAACUCUUGGAGCAGUGCUGGGAGCGGGGCAAAGAGGACCUCAUGCCCUUGGAGGAGCCGUUGGGAAAAUUAUGAAGGUCUCAAGGGAGCCCUGAAUGGGACCUGUGGGGAGCACUGGGGCCAACCCUGAGGGGCCAGGGGGCUACUGGGUGCUCAGGGAGCCCUAGGGAGGGCCAAAGGAUGAUUCAAAGGAUGCUUGCUCCCUUGUAGCCAUCCCUGGGGCAGGCUGUGAUAUGUCCAGCCUGUGGAGCUGGAAACACUUGGAGAAGGAUCUCAGACCUGCAGGACCUGUUAUGGGAGAGAUGUUUCAAGACCCUGUACUUCUAUCCUCCUGAUGUGUUUGUGAACAUUUUAGGGGUUUCAGCUGAAUCCUCACUCAUUUGGUGGGGUCCAUGGGUGCUUGGGUUACUUGAGGCAGCAGACUUAGCUCCCUUGUCAUGGGCUGGGGCUGUUGAGCUCUGCGGAGCACUGGAGAGGGCUGGCAGGACCUUGGGAUCUUCCCAGGCAGGACAAGUUCCUGUCCUGCUCCUGGGAGGCGUUUGUCUGAGCUGUUCCUCCUGACACACCCAGUGCUGAGCUCCAGAGAUUGCUGAGCACAUCCCUGACACCCCAUGUCCAGGAAUCUCCUGAGUCUUGGCCUUGCAGGAUUGUUUCACAGCUGCAUCACAGCUGCAUAUGUUCAUACAUCAGGGAGGCCAGUUUGAACUCAACUUGGCAACUUCUGUUAAAAAUAAAAAAAAAGUUUUUACAAAUAUAUGAAUAGUAAAAGGAAGGGUAUAACCGAUCUCUGUUCCUUAGUGGAUGUGGCAGGCAACCUAGUAACUAAAGAUGAGGAAAAGGCAAAAAUGCUUAAUGCUAUCUUCGCCUCAUUCUUUAGUGGUAAGACAGCUUGUCCUCAAGACAACUGUCCUCAGGGGUUGGUAGGUGAUGCCAGGGAGCAGAAUGGUCCUCUUGUUAUCCAAGAAGAGGCAGUCAGAGAACUACUGGGACACUUGGAUAUUUAUAAAUCAAUGGGACCAGAUGGAAUCCACCCCAGGGUGAUGAGGGAGCUGGCAGAUGUGCUUGCGAAGCUGCUCUCCAUCAUUUAUCAGGAGUCGUGGCUCACUGGUGAGGUCCCAGACUAUUGGAAACUGGCCAAUGUGACACCCAUUUACAAAAAAGGUAGGAAGGAGGAUCCUGCUAAUUACAGGCCAGUUAGCCUGACCUCAGUACCAGGUAAGAUAAUGGAACAGUUCAUACUUAGUGCUGUCACACAGCACUUAAGGAUGGCCAGGGUAUCAGACCCAGCCAGCAGGGGUUUAGGAGGGGUAGGUCGUGUUUGACCAACCUGGUCUCCUUUCAUGACCAGGUGAGCCUCCGGUGGAUGCGGGACAGGCUGUGGAUGUGUCUGGACUCCAGCAAGGCCUUUGGCACUGUUUCCCACAGCACUCCUGGAAAAGCUGCAGCCCACGGCUGGGCCAGGAGCGCUCUGUGCUGGGCUCAGAACUGGCUGCAUGGCCGGCCCAGAGAGUGGUGAGCAGUGCUGCAUCCAGCUGGGGACAGGCACCAGUGGUGUCCCUCAGGGCUCUGUGCUGGGCCAGCUCUGUUCCAUGUUUUUAUUGACCACAUGGAUGAGGGCAUCGAGUCCUUCAUUAGUAAAUCUGCAGAUGACACUAAGCUGGGAGCGUGUGUCCAUCUGUUGGAAGGUAGGAGGGCUCUGCAGAGAGACUUAGAUCAGUUGGAGGGACGGGCAGAGUCCAAUAAGAUGAUGUUUAAUAAAUCCAAGUGUUGAGUCCUGCAUUUUGGCCACAAUAACCCCCUGCAACAUUACAGGCUGGACAGUGUCCAGGCAGAAAGGGACCUGGGGGCACUGGUCGACAGCCAACUAAACAUGAGCCAGCAGUGUGCCCUGGUGGCCAAAAAGGCCAAUGGCUCCUGGCCUGUAUCAGCAAUGGUGUGACCAGCAGAACUAGGGGGGGUCAUCCUUCCCCUGUACUCGGCACUGGUGAGGCCACACCUUGAGUGCUGUGUCCAGUUCUGGCCCCUCAGUUUGGGAUGGACGUUGAGACACCCGAGCGCAUCCAGAGGAGGCAACGAGGCUGGAGAGGGGCUGGGAACACAAACCCUGUGAGGAACGUUUGAAGGAACUGGGAUUGUUUAGCCUGGAGAAGAGGAGGCUUAGAGGUGACCUUAUUGCUCUCUACAACUCCCUGAAGGGAGCUGCAGACAGGUGGGGGUCGGUCUCUUCCCCCAGUCAGCACUGACAGAACAAGAGGACACAGUCUCAAGCUACGUCAGGAAAGGUUUAGGUUGGAUAUUAGGAAAAAAUUUUCACCAAAAGAAUAAUAAAGUACUGGAAUGGUCUGCCCAGGGAGGUGGUGGAGUCACCAUCUCUGGAUAUGUUUAAAAAAAGACUGGACUUGGCACUUGGUGCUAUAGUCUAGUUGUGGUGUUAGGGCAUCGGUUGGACUUGAUGAUCUUAGAGGUCUCUUCCAACCUCAUUAUUCUGUGAUUCUGUGAUUCUGUGCCGGUGUCCCUUCUCUGUGCCCACGUCCUCUCUCUGUGACCAUGUUCCUUCUCCAUGCCCACCUCUCCAGCCCCGUUUCCUGUGGCUCCCGGGGGAUGACUCCGGGCUGAUGCAGGGCUGUCCAAAUCCAGCUCCUCAGUGACAUCUUGUGCUGGGAAUGCUCAGCGCAUGCAGGACACGGGAAAAUUAGUUCCUGCAAUUGUUUUCCCUGCCUCCCCAACACUGACAUUGCUGUAACCGGCAGUGAAACCACGGGGAUCCCCUGAGCUCAUUUGUAAGGUUUUUUUGGGAACAUCUUGUCCUUCCACGGAGACAGCCAGGCAGUGGCAUUGCCUCUGACAGAGCUGGGUACAAAGCUCUGGCAAAGCAUCCACUUCCUUCAAAACAUUCCCUGUGCUAACUCUUUUGUGCCAUUUAGAGAUAAUAAUAAUUUACCCAAAGUUCCUCGCCAUGAUGAGACUGCACAUACGAAUUCUUGGGAUGCUGUUCAAACCUUGUUUCUCCGCCAACUGCCACAGAGAAAAUUCCCUUUGAAGGCUCUAAUGGCACCAAUCACCCCUGGGAAACACUUGCCUGGUCUUAGCAGGGAAAGCUUCCAAGUGCUGCCUGCUGUGCCAGCAGAGCUGCAGCCCUGCAGCAUCCAGCUGGGUGCAGAACCAGGUCUGAGUUUCUGAAGAAACUUUAGUCUCAGACCCAAACUCAGAGAUGAAAUGUUAAAAAGCCGCUUUUGAUGGAAGUGAAAUCUGAUGAGGUUUCUCUCAGGAUGGUGGUACUUGAAGCAGAGAAAAUCCUCGAGCUGGCAGCCCUGCCAGUGGCAGGGAGACCAACAAGGGAUGCCCCAGGCUGCCGUGGGGACUGUACCAAGCCCUUGUGGAUCACCGUGGCCUUGCAGAGUGCUGAUCCCCCAGCUCCCAGUCUCCCUUGGGUGUGACAUCAUGCCUUUGAGGCCACUGUCCCUGUUCCCAGCAUGGGCAGGCAGGGGCUGCUGGCACAGAGGGGCUGGUCCCUGCUCCCGGUGGCUGCAGCUGGCGUGGGGAGCUCAGUGCAGCCCAUGGCUGGAGCACGCAUCACAGACACAGCCAUGCUGCUGCAUCCCGCACGAGGAGCAUGGCUGAGGCUGGGUAACACGCAGCCAAGUCCUUCCUCGGCCACUCAUUGUGGCAGCAAUGGGAAUAAAUCCAGGAGAAGCUGUUAUGGAGGGCUUGGGAAGCCGUUAAAUGUGAAGAAACAUUUGAAUGUGAGACAAAUAGUUGAGGAGGGAAUUUGGCACGGGAGGAGGUGCAGUUAGAAGGAGAGGCCAUGCCAUGCAUAUUUCAUGGGCCAGCCCUCAGCAGAGGCUCCUCUGACACCACAAACAUCAUCGAUGGCCAGGAGUAACAGCAGCCGCUCCCAGCAUGUGGGAAGGAGAAGGGUGAGAUGAUCACUCCUCCUGCCUCGUGCUAGAAGUGGGCCAAGGACACAGGACCUGGAAGCUGCUGGCUCUGCUCCCCAGGUUUGGGACCAGCCUUCCUCACCCUCCUCUUCCUCCAGCCCAGUGCCAGGCUAGGGGUAAGCCUGCCCCAUCCUUGGGGCUGGGGAUUUGUCCUCAUUGUCCCACAGCUCUGUGAGCCUUCCAGCCCUGCUGCCCCAGCACUCUGUGCUUCCAGCAUUGCUCCUCUGAGGCUUCCUUGGAAAGUACUGACCCAGGUCCUCCUCUGUCAGGUGUUUCUCACAGACCAUAUACCUGACUUGUGCCCAGCACCCGCGCUACCAAACCGCUCCCACCGCAGGCCAGCAUGCAGGAGGGACACCUGCACCCUGUGGGAGCAGCGUGGAUCCUCAGCUGGCAUCUGGCGCUGACAGAGUGCCCCUUGGAGCAGCAGUGCUGGGGUGGCAGGAGCUGGGUGGUCAGAAUCUGAUGUGGAUCCACUGGCAAAACCCAGGAGAAGGUGGACUUCAGGACAGUGCUUCCUAAAUUGCAGCCACAUGUGGGUUCUCAUCUUGUAGGGAGUUAUUUUUCUUCACAACAGACUUCAUCUCCCUCUCUGCAACUCUUCAGGGAGAACUCCAGAUUUACUACUGCUCACUCUGAGGGGAUAAACCCCUGUGGGGUGCACAGGAGCUCCCAGCCUUAGGAUGGGGUGUGUUUGGAUAAUGAGUCGGUUCUCUCUGACUCCACCUAAGCACCCUGUCCCCCUCAGUGUCACCCUCCUGGGGGUGAAUCUGCCUUGUGCCCCAGUGUGGAGCACAAUCUGGCAGCAGGAUGGAGGAACCAGCCUUCCUUCUCACAGCUGGAGAAGCAGGGAGCUGCAUCCUUCCCCUUGCACUUGGUGCUGCAGAGGCCGCAGGAGGCUCAGCUGCUCCAGCAGGAUUGGGGUGAUCUCUAGCCAGGUGUGGCACAGGCAGGUGAGGCUGCAGCACUUGGUGUCCUGCCUCCAUGAGAGCAGAGCUUGGGAACUUGCUGGUCACCUGGGGAGUGACAGGGUGGGAGCUCCAGUUCCUGGGGCGUUCCUUUGGGCUGGGGCCCUGGAGAGAGCAGCUGAGAGCUGCCACAGACUCUGCAGAGGAAAGAGAUGCUGGGCAGCUCCUCUUGCAGCCCAUCUCCUGGCCAGCCCAGACACUGGUCUCCCAGCAUGGUUGGGAUUUUGAAAGCUGGACUGUGUUCUGACCCCUGGCAUUUUCCAGUUGCAUCCCAAUGAUUUUUGUGAAUCACUUGCAGCCUAAGAGAUAAAUGUCUUCUUAACUCUUCCUGUGAGUUUCUGGGUGCAGCUCAGCAGCCAAGAGAAAACACCCAGGUGAAAUCCUGUCUCCAUAAAGGUCAAUGCUAUUAAAAAACAAAUUGCCUCUGAAAUGGAACCUAGGAAAUAUCCAAGGCAGGGAAAGGCACAUCAGACUUGCCACACCAGCUUAUUGUUUCUUUGCAGGGAGUCCUUCUCUUUUUCCAUCCACUGGCAGAAGGGAGUCAUGUGAGAUGUCCACAAGUGUGCUUGGGAGAAAAGGAACAUCAGUGAAGACCUGAAACAAUUUUGCUGCUCUUACAGCUGAGAAAGGAUCAUGCUGGAAGGUUUCUGUGGAAGUGGGGCCUGGGGAAUGGACAUGAAAAGCCUUUUUUCCCAGCUGACUCCGUUGGUGGGCCAAAGUUAUUUUCUCUCAUUAGAGCUGCUGAUACAGCUGGAAGAAGUGAGCUCUCUCUCCAAAACUUCAUCUGCCAGUGAAAGGCAGCAUCCCCCAGGAAGAUCUUGGGGUAUUUAGCUGCUCCAGCUUCUCGUUCCUCUGGCUGUGGCUCUUUGCACUGGAACUUGGAAAGAAAAAUAUUCUGGGAUGGAAAAUUUCAAGCCUAAAGGGUAAAGUUGGACAAAAUCCAGGUGAGACUUGGCAGAGAGACCCAGCAAAGGUUGUUCCUUGUGCUGACAUUUUUGCUCUGUGCUUUGGAGAGCCUCCCUGCAGCUCUGCUCCAGCCAGGUCAGGCUCUGCUCAUGUAAGUGAUCAUGUUAACACCACCACAUGUGACUUUCUCUGGGUUUUCUUUUUUUCAUUUUAUUAUUUUUAAUUUUUUUUUUGUCUCUGAAACUGUGAAUGUUUCGGAAGCAGAUGCUGCAGUGGUCUUACAUCCUAUGGGGAUGGCUGUCCUGUCAGCCCACCCCACUCCCAGAAGUGGCCCAGAGGCUUUGAUCCUCUGGCUGCUUGUCCACAGCAGACACUGCACAUCUGUGGUAGCACCAGAACACCCUGACACAGCCCAGAUAAAUCACCUGAUGGAAAUGAGGAGCUGGGAUCUUGUGGAAACUCUGGCUACUGGAAACCAAAAGGAGAACUCGGUGUCUGUGCUGGCUCUGGGGUGCAUGUGAAAGUGCUUUAGAACAAGGGGCAUGCUGGAGACUGCUGUGACUCCUUCUCACUCCUGUGAAUUCUUCCACUCAGGUCUUGCCAGAGUGUGCCAACCCAUCCCUGCAAGGCUGGAGGAGCUCUGCAGAAGGACCUUCAUGGGCUGUGCUGAGUCCUGGGCUCCUCUGCAGCAGGAAGGACCCCAUGGUACUCAUGGAAUGCCAUGAGUUACUGAGAAAAUCCCCAGGUGCUGAGGGCAAAGGCCUCAAAAGUCACCUGUGGAGAAAGAAGAAGAUUAGAUCUGCCUCAUUCCAAGGGUUUAAACCAUUUUUAUGUUACUAAAAAGAUGUCUUUAUGCUCUAGGUGGUUUUGUUUUUCAAAAAAAGAUAAAGACAGCAAAUCCAAGGUAAAAAAUGCAAUUUGAAGAUGAGAGAUGAAUGUGUUUUGCCGUAAAUUUGGAGAAAUCACCACCAAAUUUGGUGUGGGGUUGUUGUCCUCUCCUUCCCUCCAGGGAGCACUGUGGCAUCUCCUUUCCUCUGGAUUUUGGAGAGAAUGAAUUUGUGUUUCUUACCCAGAAACAGAAAUAAAGCUCCAACAACCUGUC